rnacentral:rRNA from 1 species
AAUCCUACGGGAGGCAGCAGUGGGGGAUAUUGCACAAUGGGGGGAACCCUGAUGCAGCGACGGCGCGUGGGUGGAGGAGUGCUUCGGCAUGUAAAGCCCUAUCGGCAGGGGAGAAGCAAGACGGUACCUGACUAAGAAGCCCCGGCUAACUACGUGCCAGCAACCGCGGUAAUACGUAGGGGGCGAGCGUUAUCCGGAUUCACUGGGUGUUAAGGGAGCGUAGACGGCCAAGCAAGCCAGGGGUGAAAGUCCAGGGC